rnacentral:rRNA from 1 species
UACGAAGGGGGCUAGCGUUGUUCGGAAUCACUGGGCGUAAAGCGCACGCAGGCGGAUCGUUAAGUCAGGGGUGAAAUCCCGAGGCUCAACCUCGGAACUGCCUUUGAUACUGGCGAUCUUCGAGUCCGGGAGAGGUGAGUGGAACUCCGAGUGUAGAGGUGAAAUUCGUAGAUAUUCGGAAGAACACCAGUGGCGAAGGCGGCUCACUGGCCCGGUACUGACGCUGAGGCGCGAAAGCGUGGGGAGCAAACAGG